rnacentral:ncRNA from 12 species
UCCGGGGAUAGGGUAGCUCCCGACAAGGCGGACCUCCUGCACCGCCUUCCCACGGAUCACUUUGAGGA